UCUCUGGUAACAGGAGUUCUGAAAGAAGCCCGGCGGCAAAGUUCCGGCCUGAGGAACACGAAUCGCAUAUAAGGCCAUAGACGGAGACGAGCGUGCCAGACAGUGCAAAUCAUAAUAGUUGCGGAUGACUGUCUGUGGUAGAUGCGGCAGGUGUAUGGAAUGAAAGAUGUAUGAC
rfam:Faecalibaculum rodentium strain Alo17, complete genome.